GGCCCCCGUGGGCGCCUGCCGGAGGUCCAAAACUCUUCUGUUUUUAGUACCGUGCCUCUCUGAGUUUGUUACAAAUACAAGUAAAAACUUUCAACAACGGAUCUCUUGGUUCUGGCAUCGAUGAAGAACGCAGCGAAAUGCGAUAAGUAAUGUGAAUUGCAGAAUUCAGUGAAUCAUCGAAUCUUUGAACGCACAUUGCGCCCGCCAGUAUUCUGGCGGGCAUGCCUGUUCGAGCGUCAUUUCAACCCUCAAGCCCGGCUUGGUGUUGGGGUUCUGUUUGUUCAAAACAGGCCCUGAAAUACAGUGGCGAGCUCACCUGGACUCCGAGCGUAGUAAUUAACGUCGCUCAGGGUGUUCGGUGGGUUUCUGCCGUAAAACCUCUCUAUUUCACAGAAAGGUUGACCUCGGAUCAGGUAGGAAUACCCGCUGAACUUAAGCAUAUCAAUAAGCGGAGG
rnacentral:rRNA from 1 species